CCUACGGGCGGCUGCAGUGGGGAAUAUUGGACAAUGGGGGGAACCCUGAUCCAGCCAUGCCGCGUGUGUGAAGAAGGCCCUCGGGUUGUAAAGCACUUUCAGUGAGGAAGAACGCCUGGUGGUUAAUACCCAUCAGGAAAGACAUCACUCACAGAAGAAGCACCGGCUAACUCCGUGCCAGCAGCCGCGGUAAUACGGAGGGUGCGAGCGUUAAUCGGAAUUACUGGGCGUAAAGCGCGCGUAGGUGGCUUGAUAAGCCGGUUGUGAAAGCCCCGGGCUCAACCUGGGAACGGCAUCCGGAACUGUCAAGCUAGAGUGCAGGAGAGGAAGGUAGAAUUCCCGGUGUAGCGGUGAAAUGCGUAGAGAUCGGGAGGAAUACCAGUGGCGAAGGCGGCCUUCUGGACUGACACUGACACUGAGGUGCGAAAGCGUGGGUAGCAAACAGGAUUAGAUACCCCUGUAGUC
rnacentral:rRNA from 1 species